GACACUUGAGCAGUGAGUAUGGUUCCCCUGCAGCUCCCUUCUGACACAUGAUUACGGUUGGUGAUUAUUUUUUCCUGUUGUGCCUCCUUACAGACUGAGUGUCUGACACAUGUACAGAGCCCACAAGCUGCCAUGAGCUAUUUCUACAUGUAACUAGGUGACUACGCCUUGCAGCUUCCCCUACGUUAUAGGCUUUUUAACUUCAUUAUGUGAUCAGGCAUGUUGCCAACUUUGAAGGCCAUUCCACACAUCUGAGUGAUCUGGCUUGCCGUCCAGGUGAUUUAAGUGCCAAUCUUGAUAAAGGUCCGCAUAAGGACCGAAACGUCGAUGAAAUACGGCAUCAACAGUGAACCCGAAUAAAAAUAUACUGAAUUUACAAGUGACUUCAGAGACUAAUUUCUGGGCGUGAGUGCACCUUCCACCUAGGUGGUUGUUGUGGUAUAUUGGUGGCCUCUCUGGUCAUUAGGAGCACCCGCCGUCGUUAUUACUUUUGAUGAGAGUGCAGGAUCUUCC